CAAGGAAGUGUGCCCGAACUCCAAAGGAUUGCUUUGAUAGAGCAAAACACAGGGGCGAAAAUCCCCUCACUUCC
rnacentral:tRNA from 1 species